UACGUAGGGUGCGAGCGUUAAUCGGAAUUACUGGGCGUAAAGCGUGCGCAGGCGGCUUACUAAGACAGGUGUGAAAGCCCCGAGCUUAACUUGGGAAUGGCGCUUGUGACUGGUAGGCUGGAGUGUGGCAGAGGGAGGUGGAAUUCCACGUGUAGCAGUGAAAUGCGUAGAGAUGUGGAGGAACACCGAUGGCGAAGGCAGCCCCCUGGGCUAACACUGACGCUCAGGCACGAAAGCGUGGGGAGCAAACAGG
rnacentral:rRNA from 1 species